GCUCAGAAUGAACGCUGGCGGCAUGCCUAACACAUGCAAGUCGAACGAAGCCUUCGGGUUUAGUGGCGCACGGGUGCGUAACGCGUGGGAAUCUGCCCCUUGGUUCGGAAUAACAGUUGGAAACGACUGCUAAUACCGGAUGACGACGUAAGUCCAAAGAUUUAUCGCCGAGGGAUGAGCCCGCGUAGGAUUAGGUAGUUGGUGUGGUAAAGGCGCACCAAGCCGACGAUCCUUAGCUGGUCUGAGAGGAUGAUCAGCCACACUGGGACUGAGACACGGCCCAGACUCCUACGGGAGGCAGCAGUGGGGAAUAUUGGACAAUGGGCGAAAGCCUGAUCCAGCAAUGCCGCGUGAGUGAUGAAGGCCUUAGGGUUGUAAAGCU
rnacentral:rRNA from 1 species